CUCGGGAGGCAGCAGUAGGAUUCCAAUGGAGAAAGUUUGAUGGAGCAAUGCCGCGUGAGUAAGAAGGGUUUCGGUCGUAAAUUCUGUUGUUAAAGAAGAACACCUUUGAGAGUAACUGUUCAAGGGUUGACGGUAUUUAACCAGAAAGCCACGGCUAACUACGUGCCAGCAGCCGCGGUAAUACGUAGGUGGCAAGCGUUGUCCGGAUUUAUUGGGCGUAAAGCGAGCGCAGGCGGUUUUUUAAGUCUGAUGUGAAAGCCUUCGGCUUAACCGGAGAAGUGCAUCGGAAACUGGGAGACUUGAGUGCAGAAGAGGACAGUGGAACUCCAUGUGUAGCGGUGGAAUGCGUAGAUAUAUGGAAGAACACCAGUGGCGAAGGCGGCUGUCUAGUCUGUAACUGACGCUGAGGCUCGAAAGCAUGGGUAGCGAACAGGAUUAGAUACCCUGGUAGUCCAUGCCGUAAACGAUGAGUGCUAAGUGUUGGAGGGUUUCCGCCCUUCAGUGCUGCAGCUAACGCAUUAAGCACUCCGCCUGGGGAGUACGACCGCAAGGUUGAAACUCAAAGGAAUUGACGGGGGCCCGCACAAGCGGUGGAGCAUGUGGUUUAAUUCGAAGCUACGCGAAGAACCUUACCAGGUCUUGACAUCUUCUGCCAAUCUUAGAGAUAAGACGUUCCCUUCGGGGACAGAAUGACAGGUGGUGCAUGGUUGUCGUCAGCUCGUGUCGUGAGAUGUUGGGUUAAGUCCCGCAACGAGCGCAACCCUUAUUAUCAGUUGCCAGCAUUCAGUUGGGCACUCUGGUGAGACUGCCGGUGACAAACCGGAGGAAGGUGGGGAUGACGUCAAAUCAUCAUGCCCCUUAUGACCUGGGCUACACACGUGCUACAAUGGACGGUACAACGAGUUGCGAAGUCGUGAGGCUAAGCUAAUCUCUUAAAGCCGUUCUCAGUUCGGAUUGUAGGCUGCAACUCGCCUACAUGAAGUUGGAAUCGCUAGUAAUCGCGGAUCAGCAUGCCGCGGUGAAUACGUUCCCGGGCCUUGUACACACCGCCCGUCACACCAUGAGAGUUUGUAACACCCAAAGCCGGUGAGAUAACCUUCGGGAGUCAGCCGUCUAAGGUGGACAGAUGAUAGGGA
rnacentral:rRNA from 2 species